rnacentral:rRNA from 1 species
AACGAACGCUGGCGGCAUGCCUAACACAUGCAAGUCGAACGAGACCUUCGGGUCUAGUGGCGCACGGGUGCGUAACGCGUGGGAACCUGCCUUUAGGUUUGGAAUAACUCAGAGAAAUUUGAGCUAAUACCGGAUAAUGUCUUCGGACCAAAGAUUUAUCGCCUUUAGAUGGGCCCGCGUUGGAUUAGCUAGUUGGUGGGGUAAAGGCCUACCAAGGCGACGAUCCAUAGCUGGUCUGAGAGGAUGAUCAGCCACACUGGGACUGAGACACGGCCCAGACUCCUACGGGAGGCAGCAGUGGGGAAUAUUGGACAAUGGGCGAAAGCCUGAUCCAGCAAUGCCGCGUGAGUGAUGAAGGCCUUAGGGUUGGUAAAGGACUCUUUUACCCGUAGAUGAUAAUGACAGUAUCGGGAGAA